AAUGAACGCUGGCGGCGUGGAUCAGGCAUGCAAGUCGAACGAGAAUGUGAUCUUCGGAUUGCUAGUACAGUGGCGAACGGGUGAGUAACGCGUGGGAAACCUGCCCUCGAGUGGGGAAUAACAACUCUAACGGGUUGCUAAUACCGCAUAAUAUUGCGGGCCGCAUGGUCCGCAAUCAAAGGUGGCCUCUACUUGUAAGCUGUCGCUUGAGGAUGGUCCCGCGUCCCAUUAGCUAGUUGGUAGGGUAACGGCCUACCAAGGCGACGAUGGGUAGCCGGCCUGAGAGGGUGGUCGGCCACACUGGGAACUGAGGACACGGUCCGACGACUCCUACCGGGUGGGCAG
rnacentral:rRNA from 1 species